rnacentral:rRNA from 1 species
UACGUAGGGUGCGAGCGUUGUCCGGAACUAUUGGGCGUAAAGAGCUCGUAGGCGGUGUGUCACGUCGUUCGUGAAAACCUGCAGCUUAACUGUGGGCGUGCGGUCGAUACGGGCAUCACUGGAGUUCGGCAGGGGAGACUGGAAUUCCUGGUGUAGCGGUGAAAUGCGCAGAUAUCAGGAGGAACACCGGUGGCGAAGGCGGUUCUCUGGGCAUUACCUGACGCUGAGGAGCGAAAGUGUGGGGAGCGAACAGG